rnacentral:rRNA from 1 species
AGUACGUUCGCAAGAAUGAAACUCAAAGGAAUUGACGGGGGCCCGCACAAGCGGUGGAGCAUGUGGUUUAAUUCGAUGAUACGCGAGGAACCUUACCAGGGCUUAAAUGUAGUCUGACAGGUCUGGAAACAGACUUUUCUUCGGACAGAUUACAAGGUGCUGCAUGGUUGUCGUCAGCUCGUGCCGUGAGGUGUCAGGUUAAGUCCUAUAACGAGCGCAACCCCUGUGGUUAGUUGCCAGCGAGUAAUGUCGGGAACUCUAGCCAGACUGCCGGUGCAAACCGCGAGGAAGGUGGGGAUGACGUCAAAUCAUCACGGCCCUUACGUCCUGGGCCACACACGUGCUACAAUGGUAGGGACAGAGAGCAGCCACUUCGCGAGAAGGAGCGAAUCUACAAACCCUAUCACAGUUCGGAUCGCAGUCUGCAACUCGACUGCGUGAAGCUGGAAUCGCUAGUAAUCGCAUAUCAGCCAUGAUGCGGUGAAUACGUUCCCGGGCCUUGUACACACCGCCCGUCAAGCCAUGGAAGCCGGGGGUACCUGAAGUCGGUCACCGCAAGGAGCCGCCUAGGGUAAAACUGGUAACUGGGGCUAAGUCGUAACAAGGUAACCGUA